rnacentral:rRNA from 1 species
GCCCUUACUGCUCAGUAACACGUGGUUAAUCUAACGGAAAGAGGAGAAUAUCCUUGGGAAACUGAGGUUAAUACUCCAUAGGUUAUCGCAUCUGGAAGGCGCGAUAACUUAAAGGGGCGUGAAUUGCAGCGCUUCCGCUUUUCGAUGAGACUGCGUCGGAUCAGGCAGAUGGCGGGGUAACGGCCCACCAUACCAAUAACCCGUAGGGGAUGUGAGAGCAUAAGCCCCGAGAAGGGCACUGAGACAAGGGCCCUAGCGCUACGGCGUGCAGCAGGCGCGCAAACUCCACAAUGCGCGUAAGCGUGAUGGGGGGAAUCUGAGUGAUUCACUUCGGUGAAUCUUUUGCCAAGUAUAACAAGCUUGGAGAAUAAGUGCUGGGCAAGACCGGUGGCAGCCGCCACGGUAAUACCGGCAGCACAAGUGGUGUCCACGAUUAUUGGGCUUAAAGAGCCCGUAGCUGGCCGAUGCCGUCUUACGUGAAAUAUUGGCGCUCAACGUCAAUGCGUGCGUGAGAUACCCGUCGGCUAGGGAGCGGGAGGGGUCAGGAGUACUUACGGGGGAGGGGUAAAAUCCUAUAAUCCUGUAAGGACUAACGGUGGCGAAGGCGCCUGACCAGAACGCAUCCGACAGUGAGGGGCGAAGGCUAGGAGAACGAAUCGGAUUAGAUACCCGAGUAGCCCUAGCAGUAAAUCAUGCAGACUCCGGUGUUGCACAUGCUUAGUGCAUUUGCAGUACCGUAGCGUAAGCGUUAAGUCUGCCGCCUGGGGAGUACGGCCGCAAGGUUGAAACUUAAAGGAAUUGGCGGGGGAGCACAAGG